rnacentral:rRNA from 1 species
CUCGGAGUUUGAUCCUGGCUCAGAUUGAACGCUGGCGGAAUGCUUUACACAUGCAAGUCGAACGGUAGAGGGGGCAACCCCUCGAGAGUGGCGAACGGGUGAGUAAUAUAUCGGAACGUGCCCAGUCGUGGGGGAUAACGUAGUGAAAAUUACGCUAAUACCGCAUACGAUCUAAGGAUGAAAGCGGGGAUCGCAAGACCUCGCGCGAUUGGAGCGGCCGAUAUCAGAUUAGCUAGUUGGUGGGUAAAGGCUCACCAAGCCAACGAUCUGUAGCUGGUCUGAGAGGACGACCAGCCACACUGGAACUGAGACACGGUCCAGA